CCAGGGGGCCUCUAACCCUUUCACAGUUUCUGAAAAGCAGUUUUAUUCUGGUUUGUUUUUUCCUCCCCAAGCCCCUGCCCCGGCAACAAACCAACAGUCAGGCAAACCCAUUGCUAUGGCUUAGAUCUAGGUUCAGGGGCAGGGCCGCUGUACUCAUCCGUGGGGUCACUGCUGAAUGAGCCGGUAGGGUGUGUAGCCUGGGAGGGUGCAUCACCCUGCCCUGCUCCUGAGCAGGUCUCCUCUGCCAGACCCUCCAGCAGGCCCUUCCUGCCUUGGAGUCAGCUGACUUGGAACUGAAUCCUCUAAAAACGCUGAGCCAAAGAAAACCUCACCUCCUUUACAUUGUGGGUAUUUUGUCCCAGCAAAGAGAAAGUGACUAAGACACCGAUUUUCAGAUGUAAGUACUGAAGUGCUUUCUUUUGCCUCAGGUAAGCUUUUCUGUGCUUUUAGUGCCUUGAUUGUCCUCACAGGGUCACCUGCAUUGUUCAGAGCUGGUCGCACAGCCACUGAGAUAGUGCUGCAUUCAUAAACCCAGUGCUCAAGCCAUAGUAAACCAAGUACGAAAGCCAUAGGUAAAUCCAAAUUUGUCCACCAGAAACAUUUAUGAACCACUGAACUUGUUCUUGUUAAUGCUCAGGAAAAUCUAACAUUAACACUCACUCUUGGACCCUUCUGUCAGCGCCCAUUCGAAGGCCCAGAGGCAGUCCAGAGUGGAAACAACAUCAGACUUGAUAAGAGCCUCAGCCCUCUGGGGAGCCAGACGGCGCUGAAGAAGUCAGGAGAAGCCCAAGAAAUGAUGGCGCCUCGAGAUCUCUAUCUGCAGGGCUUGAAAGACGUUUUGCAAAGGGGAUAAUUUCUCUGCGGAGUUUCUAGGGCAAAGCAAAAUUAGGGUCCAUUUUUGGAAAGGGAGACUAUAAAAGAGACAGAGUUUACAAUAAUAAUAAUAAAGAAUAAACUAGUACCAAAAGGUCGGACUUUAAAUUAUCACUGGCAGUUUGAAAAUGGCUGGGGAUGGGGCAUGGGUGAAAUAUCUGUGGCAGUAAAGCCGGAUCCUCUCACUUCAGGACAGUGUAUCUAAGAGUCCAUGAGACUGUCUUCACAAAGUUCUAUCUAGGAGGCUCCUUGACCCGCCACUACUGUUUGGAUUUGGACGUCCCAAAGCCCCGUGCAUUGAAGGCUUGGUUCUCAGCCAUGGUGCUGUUGGGAGGUGUGGAACCUUUAAGAGGUGGGGCCUGAUGGGAGGAAGUGAGGUCACAGGACACACCUUUUCCCCUUAUGCCCGCCAUGAUGUUCUGCCCCUCCACAGGCUCAAAGGCAAUGUUUCUUCCAACUGUGGACUGAAACCUUCAAAACUUUCCUCAGGAUCACUGCCAAGUACAGUCUGUCACUGACUGACUCAUUAGGGAAAUGCUUACAAGGCUCCUGUCGUGGUUAGACAUGAUGAGCUCGUGUGACACUGAUUCUCGAUCUGCCCCAACUCUCUACUCCUCACCAGUUCUCGUCUGGAAGGCCGGGCUGCUGGAGAGCGCCCUCUAGCGGAGGAGCGGAUCUCCGCGUUCAGAUCCUAGGCCCCAAGCGUUGCAGCUAUGUCAGUGGAGGAUACAGUUUGAGAUCCCUUGGCCUCUGAGUUCACAGGGCUUCUGGGUAACUCCAGUGAAGGAAGAAAUGAACUGGCGGGAAGGCAAAGAGGGAAGCAGGAAUAGCAGUGUGCAGUUGGGUCUUCCACGCCCCCCUGGCAUGUGUGGAUUGUGGAGAAGCCUAAGUGCAAUGGAAAUGUUUGCUAAAUAAAUGAA